rnacentral:rRNA from 1 species
AACUGCAGGGAUUGCCUCGGUAACGGCGAGUGAAGCGGCAACAGCUCAAAUUUGAAAUCUGGCUUCCGGGCCCGAGUUGUAAUUUGCAGAGGGAGUUUCGGAGGCGGCACCGGCCUAAGUUCCUUGGAACGGGGCGUCAUAGAGGGUGAGAAUCCCGUACGUGGCCGGUGAUCAAUUCCAUGUGAAACCCUUUCGACGAGUCGAGUUGUUUGGGAAUGCAGCUCAAAAUGGGUGGUAAAUUUCAUCUAAAGCUAAAUACCGGCCAGAGACCGAUAGCGCACAAGUAGAGUGAUCGAAAGAUGAAAAGCACUUUGGAAAGAGAGUUAAAAAGUACGUGAAAUUGUUGAAAGGGAAGCGCUUGCGACCAGACUUGCCCGCGGGUGAUCAGCCCCCCUUCGGGAGGGUGCACUCGCCCGUGGUCAGGCCAGCAUCGGUUUUGGCGGGCGGAUAAAGGCUCCAGGAAUGUAACUCCCCUCGGGGAGUGUUAUAGCCUGGGGUGCCAUGCGCCCCGCCGGGACCGAGGACCGCGCUUCGGCUAGGAUGCUGGCGUAAUGGUCGUAAGCGACCCGUCUUGAAACACGGACCAAGGAGUCUAACAUCUGUGCGAGUGUUUGGGUGUCAAACCCAUGCGCGGAAUGAAAGUGAACGGAGGUGGGAACCCCUUCCGGGGGGCGCACCAUCGACCGAUCCUGAUGUCUUCGGAUGGAUUUGAGUAGGAGCAUGGCUGUUGGGACCCGAAAGAUGGUGAACUAUGCCUGGAUAGGGUGAAGCCAGAGGAAACUCUGGUGGAGGCUCGCAGCGGUUCUGACGUGCAAAUCGAUCGUCAAAUMUGGGUAUAGGGGCGAAAGGUCAGUGCAUUCAUUUCUUU